GUACUUGCUUCGACAGUACAUAUACUAAAAUUGGAACGAUACAGAGAUGAUUAGCAUGGCCCCUGCGCAAAAUCGUUCCAUAUUUUG